CAGUCGAGCGGUAGAGAGAAGCUUGCUUCUCUUGAGAGCGGCGGACGGGUGAGUAAUGCCUAGGAAUCUGCCUGGUAGUGGGGGAUAACGUUCGGAAACGGACGCUAAUACCGCAUACGUCCUACGGGAGAAAGCAGGGGACCUUCGGGCCUUGCGCUAUCAGAUGAGCCUAGGUCGGAUUAGCUAGUUGGUGGGGUAAUGGCUCACCAAGGCGACGAUCCGUAACUGGUCUGAGAGGAUGAUCAGUCACACUGGAACUGAGACACGGUCCAGACUCCUACGGGAGGCAGCAGUGGGGAAUAUUGGACAAUGGGCGAAAGCCUGAUCCAGCCAUGCCGCGUGUGUGAAGAAGGUCUUCGGAUUGUAAAGCACUUUAAGUUGGGAGGAAGGGCAGUUACCUAAUACGUGAUUGUUUUGACGUUACCGACAGAAUAAGCACCGGCUAACUCUGUGCCAGCAGCCGCGGUAAUACAGAGGGUGCAAGCGUUAAUCGGAAUUACU
rnacentral:rRNA from 1 species